rnacentral:misc_RNA from 1 species
GAAAUGCGAAAAGUAGUGUGAAUUGCAGAAUUCAGUGAAUCAUCGAAUCUUUGAACGCACAUUGCGCCCCUUGGUAUUCCAUGGGGCAUGCCUGUUCGAGCGUCAUUUGUACCUUCAAGCACUGCUUGGUGUUGGGUGUCUUGUCCCCCGCGUUUAGCGUUGGACUCACCUUAAAGUUAUUGGCAGCCGGCAUACUAGCCUUGGAGCGCAGCACAAUUUGCGCCCCUUGACCUGCGUGUUGGCGUCCAUGAAGCCUACAAUUUUUACUCUUGACCUCGGAUCAGGUAGGGAUACCCGCUGAACUUAA